UUUGUACCCGUAUCACAGACACUGCCCUAUACACGGUGUAUCGUGUUUUUAUAAGCUUAUAAUUGCAUUUCAUUCGAUUUUAUCAAGCAGUUCGCAAGAACAGCAACCCGCGUACUAUCACAAUUUAUUUUGAAGUGAGAACACGUACUGCUACCCAAUGGGUUUAUAACGAACUACAGGAAAUUGACUGAAGGUGAUACAUGUACUGUCCCAGCUGAUAAAAUACAGAUCGGAAGAGUUCUUUGUUUGCAAGGAUAGAAAUAGGAAGUAAACUUACCAGACGACUGUUCCUCGUUACUUGGGUUGACUGGAGUGGAACCAAAUCCAGUAUACCGACCUCCUUGACUUGGUGGCAG
rnacentral:lncRNA from 1 species